AUUAACCAGAUUAAAAUAUCUACAAAAUGUAAAUAUAUAAAAUGCAUAUCUUAAUUUGUAAGUAUUAGGCCAUCCUUAAAAAAAUUUUGUUUGCAGUAACGCGACCGACUCACAAAAUUUGCCCCUACUCAAAUUUUUUUUCGUGGUCUGGAUAAAAAAAUUUUUUUUUGAAUCAGAAAAUUAUGCCUUGUGCUUUAAGGUUAAUAGAAGAAAUAAAAUGUAGUUCUUAUUAAAUUAUAAUUCAGUUAUCAAUUUAUUAAUUGUUACAAGAUUAUCAAAGCAUAUAUUGUCCAGCAUUUUGAUAUUCCAUGUUUAUUUGGGAGUACAGUUCAAUAAUAAAAAAAAUCGACCUACCUACCCACCUUGAAAAUUCUGGGUCGGGUAACUGCAAACAAACAUUUUUUUAAGGACGGCCUUAGGAAAGAAGAAAAAAAUGUAAAAUAAAAAUAGAAAAAUCUGACCACAAGUCCUACCUUAAAAGUGGAUUUUAGAAGUUAUAACAUAGUAUGAGAGAGUAAAGAUUAAUGAAAACUUUAAGAUGAUUUUGAAAGUUUGACCUUAUAUAUGAUAUGUUAUAAAUAUUAAAAGUCACAUAGCAGCUACAUUUGAAAAUUGUUUCUUGUUAUAAGCUGAAGAGGAAAGAAUUUAUUAUUACCACUGAAAACUUUAAAGAAAUUCUGACUCAAAUCAAAGAAAAUGCUGCAACAAAAGAGGAAUAUGAGGAGAUCAAACAUAAAUUUACUGAACUAAAAGCACAGGUGUUGGAAGCUGAGAAAGAACGUACAGAGAUGAAAAAAAAAAUUACUGUUCUUGAGACGGAGCAAAAAGAGGAGAUAAAAAGACGCAAGGUAGAAGAGUCUCCUAAACAAAACAGUUGAAAUAUGAAAAUGCUAAAUCAGGUUUUCGUACUCAAUUGAUAGAACAUUAUCGCAGUGAUGUGCUUAAAGUAUCAGCAAUACCUUUACAACCUGAUGAGGAAAAUUAUAUCUUCAGUGACGUUUAUAUAAGACCCACGAUAACAAACAAGAUAGAAAAGAACAGAGGGGAGUCUGAGGAAAAAGAAAUAAAGACCAUGUCAGAGAUUUUCAAAAAGAAUGGGGAACCACAGAAGUUUAUUUAUGUUGUUGGAGAUGCAGGGUCUGGUAAGAGUAGUUUCUGUAAAUAUUUGAUCAACUGUUGGUGUAU